rnacentral:sRNA from 1 species
UCGUUAUUUGUAUUAGAACAAGACUGC